UGAACACAGCCAGGCGCGCGUCAACGAUUUCGCAACAUCCACCACCGCCGCUGCUGCCGCUGCCCCGUUUACACGCACGGAGGGGAGCGGAGGAGGAGAGCAGACACCCACAGACAGACAGACAGACAGGCUGAGGACUGCUGCCGUUAUCCUACACGGGAACUGACAAAAAAAGUUGGUGUGACGCAGCAGGCGGCGAACGCACUCCCAACCCGUUCCCCAGACUGAGUAUAAGAUCAUUCACACAUCAGCGACAUCCACAGCAGAUGAAUGACCAUGUUGCCACUGAAGGGCUGUGACGUCACACUGAAGUUGUGGAUGAUGGUGGAAAACGCAUGAGAACUUCUCUGACUUCCCUCGGAGCUGUUUUUGGUUUUUCAUAUACUGUCUCUAAAGAACUAGUACAUAGAAGAAGGGAU
rnacentral:lncRNA from 1 species